UUUUAUGAUGCGUAGGAAACGACUGUCGUUUGAAGCGUGCUUGGGAUAUCUUUAUCAUUUGUGAUUUGUGGGUUUCAUCAAGUGAGAGAGAAAAGGGUCGGGAUUUCUUGCUCUUUUUGCUUCUUCGGUGGGUUUAGAAGCUUGCUGAAGCGGUGGUUCUUCUACCAUCAACGGAAGUGUUGAAGCAAGAAGUCAUUUGUUUCCUAGAAUGAAGUAGAAAAAAGCUCAUCAACGGAGGCGUAGAAGUGUAGUUGGGUUCUUCCACCUCUGAUUUGUGGUUGAUUAUCGACGUUUUUCUAACAUCCUAGGAGAAACCACUCAAGUGAGCAACAGAAAAGACAAGAUAUGGUGACUAGAUGGGGGCAUAAAAGGCAGCGUGUGGAGGAGGACGAAGAUCGUGUGUCCAAUGCAGGUGCUACUAUGAUGUUGGCCUUUUGUCGUUUAAGAUGUCCCAUGUUUUUUGUGCAUGGGAUCUUCAACUUUGACCAUAUGAUUUGGAGAGCUGGCGUUUUAGGGAGUCCACAUGAUAUAAGUUUUGAAGAAUUGAGAUUGGACCAACUUUAUAAAGGGACUUGGGCAUUUCAAUCUCUGCCUUUGGGGGCAUUUUUCCCAGCAGCUUUUAAAUAAUGAGGACGAUAUAGGUCAGACUUUUAGUAUAAAUAUUUGCUACUCUUUUUGUCAGCAUCUAGGAAGCAAAUGUUAGAAUUUGCCAUCCAUUGUUUCAGUAAUUCACAAGUAAUAAAGUUCUCAAGUUUUUUCUUCCAUUCUACUGUCUUUUUUCUGCCGUCCGUUUCUAUUACAUCUUCUGUUAGCGUUUUUAUGUAGUUGAGGUGUUCAUGUUGGGCAUGAUGAAAC